UACGUAGGUGGCAAGCGUUAUCCGGAUUUAUUGGGCGUAAAGAGAACGCAGGCGGUCUUUUAAGUCUAAUGUGAAAGCCUUCGGCUUAACCGGAGUAGUGCAUUGGAAACUGGGAGACUUGAGUGCAGAAGAGGAGAGUGGAACUCCAUGUGUAGCGGGGAAAUGCGUAGAUAUAUGGAAGAACACCAGUGGCGAAAGCGGCUCUCUGGUCUGUAGCUGACGCUGAGGUUCGAAAGCGUGGGUAGCAAACAGG
rnacentral:rRNA from 1 species